UCAGCCCUUUUAUGGUUUUCUCACUUCCAGGAUGUCUGUCACAUUUUUGACUGAUCUGCUGCUUGCCCUAACUUGGACUGCAAGCUUGGGCUGAUUUGAGUUAUUACGAGUAAACCUGCUCUGAACAUUUGCGUACAAGUCUUUGUGUGGGAUAUGCUUUCAUUUCUCUUUGGUCAUACCUAGGAGUGGGACAGCUGGACCAUAUGGAAGGCCUCCCACCACCGUGGCCUCUCCGCUCCGGACGCGCAGGCUCAGC